AUACGGAGGAUGCGAGCGUUAUCCGGAUUUAUUGGGUUUAAAGGGUGCGUAGGCUGUGCGUUAAGUCAGGGGUGAAAUGCCGUCGCUCAACGACGGAGCUGCCCUUGAUACUGGCGUGCUGGAGUACGGAUGCCGUUGGAGGAAUGAGUGGUGUAGCGGUGAAAUGCUUAGAUAUCACUCAGAACACCGAUUGCGAAGGCAUCGGACGAAUCCGUCACUGACGCUGAGGCACGAAAGCGUGGGGAUAGAACAGGAUUAGAUACCCUGGUAUUCCACGCCGUAAACGAUGAUGACUAACCGUCGGCGAUAGACAGCCGGUGGCCAAGCGAAAGCGAUAAGUCAUCCACCUGGGGAGUACGUCGGCAACGAUGAAACUCAAAGGAAUUGGCGGGG
rnacentral:rRNA from 1 species